rnacentral:precursor_RNA from 1 species
GAGGCUCGAUAGAAGACUGCCGCUCGUUUUAAAGCACAUGUUUAGAAUCAGAUCAUGCCUUAGUGCGAGCGCGUAUUAGUCUGCGACUCA